rnacentral:lncRNA from 1 species
GUCAGGAUCUUGGUCAGUAUCAUGUUAGUAUCAUGGUCAGACACAUGUCACUAUCAUGGUCAGUAUCAUGUUAGUAUAAUGGUCAGAAACAUGUCAGUAUCAUGGUCAGUAACAUGUCAGUAUUAUAUCAGUAUUAUGGUAAGUAUCAUGUCAGUUUUGUGGUCAGUAUCACUGUCAGGAUCUUGGUCAGUAUCAUGUUAGUAUCAUGGUCAGACACAUGUCACUAUCAUGGUCAGUAUCAUGAUAGUAUCAUGUUCAGUAUCAUGGUUAGCAUCAUGUCAUUAUCAUGGUUUGUAUCAUGUAAGUUUCAUGGUCAGUUACAUGUUUGUAUCAAAUCAAUAUGAUGGUAAGCAUCAUGUUGGUUUCAUGGUCAGUAACAUGUCAGUAUCAUGGCCAGAAUCAUGUUAGUAUAAUGGUCAGAAACAUGUCAGUAUCAUGGUUUGUAUCAUGGUUUGUAUCAUGGUGAGUAACAUGUCAGGAUCAUGGUCAGUAUCAUGUUAGUAUCAUGGUCAGUAACAUGUCAGAAUUGUGGUCAGUAUCAUUGUUUUCAUCAGGUCAUUAUCAUAUCAGUAUUAUGGUUCGUAUCAUGUUAGUAUCAUGUCAAUAUCAUGGCCAGUAUCAUGUUAGUAUCAUGGUCAGGGACAUGUCAGUUUUUUGGUCAGUAUCAUGUUAGUAUUAUGGUCAGUAACAUGUCAGUGUCAUGGUCAGUAUAAUGAUUUAGUCCAAUGCAGUAUAAUGAUCAGAAACAUGUCAGUAUCAUGGUCAGUAACAUGUCAGUAUUAUAUCAGUAUUAUGGUAAGUAUCAUGUCAGUUUUGUGGUCAGUAUCACUGUCAGGAUCUUGGUCAGUAUCAUGUUAGUAUCAUGGUCAGACACAUGUCACUAUCAUGGUCAGUAUCAUGUUAGUAUCAUGUUCAGUAUCAUGGUUAGUAUCAUGUCAUUAUCAUGGUUUGUAUCAUGUCAGUUUCAUGGUCAGUUACAUGUUUGUAUCAAAUCAAUAUGAUGGUAAGCAUCAUGUUGAUAUCAUGGUCAGUAACAUGUAAGUAUCAUGGCCAGAAUCAUGUUAGUAUAAGGGUCAGAAACAUUUAAGUAUUAUGGUCAGUAUCAUGGUUUUUAUUACGUCAGUUUCAUGGUCAGGGUCAUGGCCAGGAACAUGUCAGUAUCAUGGUUAGAAUCAUGUUAGUAUCAUGGUCGGUAACAUGUCAGUAUCAUGUUCAGUAUCAUGGUUAGUAUCAUGUCAUUAUCAUGGUUUGUAUCAUGUUGGUUUCAUGGUCAGUAACAUGUCAGUAUCAUGGCCAGAAUCAUGUUAGUAUAAUGGUCAGUAACAUGUAAGUAUCAUGUACAGUAUCAUGGUUUGUAUCAUGGUUAGUAACAUGUCAGGAUCAUGGUCAGUAUCAUGUUAGUAUCAUGGUCAAUAACAUGUCAGAAUUGUGGUCAGAAUCAUUGUUUUCAUCAGGUCAGGAUCAUGGUCAGUAACAUGUCAUUAUCAUAUCAGUAUUAUGGUUCGUAUCAUGUUAGUAUCAUGGUCAGUAUCAUGUCAAUAUCAUGGACAGUAUCAUGUUAGUAUCAUGGUCAGGAACAUGUCAGUAUUUUGGUCAGUAUCAUGUUAGUAUCAUGGUCAGUAACAUGUCAGUGUCAUGGUCAGUAUAAUGAUUUAGUCCAAUGCAGUAUCAUGGUCAGUAUCGUGUUAGUAUCAUGGUCAGUAACAUGUCAAGAUCAUGGUCAGUAUCAUGUCCUUAUCUUUGUC